UAACGAUACGGGACUCAUCCGAGGCCCCGUAAUCGGAAUGAGUACACUUUAAAUCCUUUAACGAGGACCCAUUGGAGGGCAAGUCUGGUGCCAGCAGCCGCGGUAAUUCCAGCUCCAAUAGCGUAUAUUAAAGUUGUUGCGGUUAAAAAGCUCGUAGUUGAAUCUGUGUGCCACGCUGUCGGUUCAUCGCUCGCGAUGUUUAACUGACAUGAUUGUGGGACGUCCUACCGGUGGGCUUAGCUCCUCACGGGGCGGUCCAGCUAAUAUCCCAUCGCGGUGCUCUUCAUCGAGUGUCGAGGUGGGCCGGUACGUUUACUUUGAACAAAUUAGAGUGCUCAAAGCAGGCUAUGUUUGCCUGAAUACUGCGUGCAUGGAAUAAUGGAAUAGGACCUCGGUUCUAUUUUGUUGGUUUUCGGAACCCCGAGGUAAUGAUUAAUAGGGACAGAUGGGGGCAUUCGUAUUGCGACGUUAGAGGUGAAAUUCUUGGAUCGUCGCAAGACGGACAGAAGCGAAAGCAUUUGCCAAAAAUGUUUUCAUUAAUCAAGAACGAAAGUUAGAGGUUCGAAGGCGAUCAGAUACCGCCCUAGUUCUAACCAUAAACGAUGCCAGCUAGCGAUCCGCCGAAGUUCCUCCGAUGACUCGGCGGGCAGCUUCCGGGAAACCAAAGCUUUUGGGUUCCGGGGGAAGUAUGGUUGCAAAGCUGAAACUUAAAGGAAUUGACGGAAGGGCACCACCAGGAGUGGAGCCUGCGGCUUAAUUUGACUCAACAC
rnacentral:rRNA from 3 species